CAGUGCUGUGUUUAGUCAUUCCUCCCAAUGCCAGUGAUCCCUUACAUCUGGGUGUUGUCCAUCAUCCCUGCCCAUCUCUGUGCAUCCACAACUGCCACAUCCUGAGAGCUCAGUCCAUCAUUUUGGCCGUUUUUACAAUGUAUUCCUGCCCAUGAAGAUAAUCUGUUUGGAACAAAGACUCGCAGAGAAGCAUACCUCUAGAUCAACCAAAC
rnacentral:lncRNA from 1 species